AAUCAACGCUGGCGGCGUGCCUAACACAUGCAAGUCGAACGAGAAAGUGGAGCAAUCCAUGAGUAAAGUGGCGCACGGGUGAGUAACACGUGACUAACCUACCCAGGAGUGGGGGAUAACUGAGGGAAACCUUAGCUAAUACCGCAUAACACCUACGGGUCAAAGGAGCAAUUCGCUUCUGGAGGGAGUCGCGGCCGAUUAGUUAGUUGGCAGGGUAAUGGCCUACCAAGACGAUGAUCGGUAUCCGGCCUGAGAGGGCGCACGGACACACUGGAACUGAAACACGGUCCAGACUCCUACGGGAGGCAGCAGGUGGGGAAUUUUGCGCAAUGGGGGAAACCCUGACGCAGCAACGCCGCGUGGAGGAUGAAGUCCU
rnacentral:rRNA from 1 species